AUACGUAGGUGGCAAGCGUUGUCCGGAUUUACUGGGCGUAAAGGGUGAGUAGGCGGUUAUGUGUGUCAGGUGUAAAAGGCGUAGGCUUAACUUACGUUAGCACUUGAAACUGCAUGACUUGAGUGCAGGAGAGGUAAGUGGAAUUCCUAGUGUAGCGGUGAAAUGCGUAGAUAUUAGGAAGAACACCAGUGGCGAAGGCGCUUCUCUGGACUGUAACUGACGCUGAGGCUCGAAAGCGUGGGGAGC
rnacentral:rRNA from 1 species